AGGAGCUGCUGCAGAAGGAAGAAGAAGAAGCGGCGUGGGGACCUGGGAGGCAGGAGCAAGCAAGAAGAGGAAGCGGAAGCGUGCAGAUGCGGGGGGGAAGGAGAGAGGCUCCCUGGGCAAAGCACCUGUCCCGUUAGCAGGGGCACAGUCACGUUUGAGUUGAGAGCUGCCGGCGCCUUUGGUGACCAGGCUGGCGUUGUGCUGGGCGACCUCCCCGUAAGCGGGGCUCGGGUCUUUGCUGUAGUUGGCCUUUUGCCUUGCUGCUCCUUUGGCUGCCUGGGGAGCGUGGCCCCCUGUAACGGAGGGCGAGAGCCACCUCUCCGCACCUGAGUGGGAAAUGGAGCUCGCCGGACCCCAAGGCCACCCUGUAAGCAGGGUAGUGCCGUUUCCCUGCCCCUCUUCCUCCCCCGGCCCCUUGGCAUCGUUGCCUGAUGGUGGCUUGUCAACGCGACGGCCCCGUACUCGGGGUGUGCGUCACGGCAUUUGGCCGUUGGCUUUACCUGAGAAGCCCCUUGGCACGUUGAGGUCUGUGGCCUCCGUGCAGCCUAGGGACAGGUCACAGGCUCUUGUCUGUUGCCCGUGGUUGUGGGUUUAUUCCCAGGUGUUGGCUGUGCUGCGUUGUCCUUCCCUUCUGGAAAGUCGUGCCUGUGUGUGCGUGUUCCCCUUCCUUUCCUUGUUUGUGUUUGUGGAGUGGUUGAGCGGCUGUGCUUUCCCUUUAGGCCUCCACAAAAGAUGGCUGCAGCUUAGCUUUGACUUCCCAGGGGGGAAUGGAGGACUUUGGUGCAUGCCGCAAAAGGGGUGUUCCCUCUUAGUCCUGCGAGCGCAGCGAGUGUCCUGUCUUCCUACUAUCUUCCUUAGUGCAGAUCAGAGCCACAUGGUAGUUCUGUGGCCAAGGCCUCCCUGUAGCCAGGGCUUGGGCCUGUCCUUGCGUGGCCCGGCCUGUCCUGCUGGUGGCGGUGACAGCCCCGUACUCGGGGUGUGUGUCCCAAGCUUCGGAGCCCUCUGUCCCUGAGCAGCCCGCCCGCCCUGUAAUCAGGUGUGGGGAGGCUGCAGCGUUGCAGCCGGCUGCUUUAGCCAUCCAGCUGGUGGGAGUGACCCCUCCCUGUCCCGUCAGAGGGUGCAGGUUGAGGUGCUGUUUGUGUGUGGGGUGACCUCCCCGCUCGGUGGGUCGAGGUAGCUCCCUGGGCUUCCAAAGACGAGACGUUGGUGAUGUUCUGCUGCUGCCGGGCGGGCCAGCCUGUAACUCAGGCGUUGGCGGGAGCCUCGUGCUCCGCGGGGCUUCUUG
rnacentral:lncRNA from 1 species